rnacentral:rRNA from 1 species
CGGGGUGAGUAACGCGUGGAUAACCUGCCUCACACUGGGGGAUAACAGUUAGAAAUGACUGCUAAUACCGCAUAAGCGCUCAGUACCGCAUGGUACAGUGUGAAAAACUCCGGUGGUGUGAGAUGGAUCCGCGUCUGAUUAGCCAGUUGGCGGGGUAACGGCCCACCAAAGCGACGAUCAGUAGCCGACCUGAGAGGGUGACCGGCCACAUUGGGACUGAGACACGGCCCAA